rnacentral:tRNA from 1 species
GUUGUCGUGGCCGAGUGGUUAAGGCGAUGGACUACAAAUCUUUUGGGAUCUUACCGCACAGGUUCGAAUCCUGCCAAUAUCG